GUUUUAUGUAUGUGUAGCGCGCUAGAUAGAAGUAGCACAAUUAAAAGAAAAGGGCGUUGACCAAAAUUUAGAACGAGAGAUUUUGCAUCAUUUUUCGAAGGAAAACAAACUGAAAAUGUCAGGUGGAGGUAGCGACAUGACUCUUAGAAAGACUGUGGAUCAGCUGAGAAGAGAAGCAAACAUUGAUAGAUGUAAACUUUCCCAAGUAGCCGCUGAACUAUUGAACUACUGUGAGCAGAAUGUUGGCAAUGACUACCUUCUGACGGGGAUUCCCCUCCCUGGCGUGACUAACCCAUAUAAGGAGAAGAAGAUUGGAUGCAGCAUCAUUUGAGAUUAAAAGAGACUGUUACCCUUUUCUACACUUUGAUAGCCCACAGUCGAGUCUUAUUUCGUUUUUUCUACGCUUUUCCUCUGCACGGAGCUAGGACAGAAGAAUAGCGCUUGUACAACUCGCCCCACGUCUAUGAUGCUGCUAACCGUCUGAAGAAUGAGUUAUUUAUUUCAUAUAUAGACAUUCCCUUGUGUAAUCUAUGGUUGUGUUCAUACAGUUUGCUACUCAUGUAUGACUGCUCUCAAAGAAGAACUUGAUUUAUGUAGCUAGUUUAGUUCAUAUGAACGCUCCCAUGUUUUAUUUAUGUCUGCGUUCAUACAAGGUUUUGUAUGGAUGCUACCAUUAAUUUGUUGAAAGAAUUGUUUGUUUGUUUUUAAUAUAAGAACUCCCAUUUAUAACUGGCUGUGUUCUUCAUACAGAUUAUUUGUAUGGGUUUUCUCACUACUUCUUAAGUGGAAGAUUACGUUUAUUCAAAGGAUACGAACACUCCCUAAAUGUCAAUCUUUUUUUUACAAUAUGAAUUAAGGUACUCUCACAAUCCUUUAAACAAAAUAUGAACACUCCCAUUUGCAAUAUGUGGCUGCGUUCAACUGGUGAUCUCCCUACGGAUACUCAAGGAAAGUUUGAUGCGAUAGACCCACACUUAUUUUAGUCAUCUAUUGACCAACUCUUGCCACAAAUAGACAAGCCCCAAGACUAGUUGAAUGCAAUAUUUGUUUUAAGAUGUCUCGUAUUUGAGUGGAGAACUUUGGAGUUGUUUAGAAAGUCAAACCAAUGUUUUUUUUUAUGACAUGAUGGCUGUUAUUUUACAUCCAAAGACUUGUUCAGAUAAUUCACAAUAAAUUACCGCCCCAAAAAUUGCCACAACUGUUCCAGGUGUCGAUGAAUGGCAUCUGCACAACAAAGGAUUUGGGCGUAUUCACUGAGCUUUGUAUAACUAGUAUAAUAUACAGAAAAGGGAAGUCAAUUACACCUUACGUUGUCAUUAGAAUAGACGCUGCGUUUUUUCCAAACGAGCCUCGAGUGUAAUGUUUGGUCCAAAGAUGAUAAACAUGCAUGUACACCUGUGUGUGUGCAUUGCCGAAUAGUGCAAUUUUUUUUACUUUUAAUGUCAAGUUUAGUCAAAUUCUUGUAGUUCUAUUUUCCAUAGACCGUUGUAAGUGUACAAAAUGCAGUAUCUGUUUUCUUCUGUUUACACAAUACAUGUGUUACUCAAAAUAUGUUCAAGUAUAAAAUAAAAAAUGCCUAGUUUUGCCCAGAAUCGCAUGUACAUGUAUACUGUAUUCACAUUACAAUGUAAAUGUGUAUAAUUGCUUCUUUUCCUGACAUGGUUUUCAAAAUCAAAAUCAUUGUCAAAGAAUACUAUCUCAAAAAUUCAAUUUUAUUGUGACGUAUGAUGUCUUAAAAAACUUUAUGUUUACAUACAUUCCAGCAUGUGCAUGUAACAAUCAGUGUUAACACAAAAUUUACCUGUAUACAUUUACACACAAAGAUCAAGUAAAUUUGUUAUACUUUGAUGAAUCCAAAACUUAAGACCAUAAUUCAUUUUUUUCUAAUGUAACCCUGCAUGUCGAUAUAAUUUUGUUCAUUCACUUGUCAAAAAUAAUUGUGUUUCAAGAGUCAAAAUGUUCGGUAGGGCAAGCCAUGCGUGUCCUAUCUAGCAACAAUUAGUGUACAUGCAAUUCACAUUGUGCGUACCUUAAAGGUAAAGACCAGUUUUGGAAAUGCCCCCCUCUCAAAAAAAAUGAAAUGGAAGCUCUUAUUACCAAUCAUGUGAAAGAAUGCUUUGACUAAUACGUGAUGAUACAAAUUUGACCGGGGAACCGCCUACGUAUUGAUAUACAGUGUGUAUUUGGUAAAUUAUUAUAUCUAUUUGGACCUGCUAGAUAUCGCGCACAUGUCGCUUAGUCCCAUAUACAUGCAUACCGUAUAAUGUAGUAUUUCGAGUAUGUAUAUGUAAGGCUAUAGGGGCCAGUUAAAUCAUGGUUUCGUUA